GGAAGAACAAGCCUAGACACGUUUCUUCACGGAGCCCAAGGAAAACACUUUACCGAACUCAUAUGGGAUGGCCCUGUAAGUUGUGCAGCACUGUUGUACCAACCAAGAGUGACAUUUUAAAGCAUUACAGACUGCACCAUGGGACCUUUGGACACAGCCAUUCUUUGCCUUGCAUUCAUAGUCUAGCUCCACUCCCACCACGUUACUGGCCUUCUCUACCAACUUGUCCAGUCUGAUUGCGUCCCUCGCUCUCAGCCCGCUGCCCCAGCAGGCCACGGCGUACAAGAAGGCGCCUGCCACCACCGACUCGUAGAAUAUCUUCUAUUCUAUUCUAUUCUAUUAUCAUUCUAUUUUUCCUGACCAAGUUUCCAUUGUGACUUGGACAUGACAUACUAGACUCACUUUUUGCCUGAAAAUGUAUACUAAUACCCUUAAUAUCAGUAACGGUCAACAUUUGCUGUCUUACAGAUUAAUGAAGCGUUCCGAAGGUGCACUGCUGUUCCACUGGAAUCAACAUUUAUGUCCCAACUGGACAGGUACACUCCAAAACUCCUGGAGCUCUUCAGUGCAAAAGGAGGAGUGACUGCAGCGCAUCAAGAACUUGUUGAUGGAACUGACACAGGACCCAAGUGCCUCUGCAGUGAAGAAGAGAGAUGUGACUGUGAGAUGCCUCAUAGAGUACGUGGGAGAGAGUGGACAGGAGCUAAUCUCUGACUACUGGAACUGCAGAGACCGCUGUUCAUGAGGACCUGGAAAUGAAGAAUAUGAGCAUCUACAUCUGUCGUGAGCCAAAUGCAGUAGGAAUCAUCAUUGAGGGAGUACCAGUCCUUACUCAUCUUGGAAACCUGGCCAAAGCAUGCUGCCUACUUCCGGGGUUGACGUAUGCACUUAAUCUUGAGUAUCCAUCCAAACUUUCCAAAACAUUUGAGGUGUUUCAAAGACUUUUUGUGGGACUUGACACACUGCGCCCAAAACCAACCCCCAAAUUCAUGACUCUCAAAAACAAGCUUCUAGCUUAGGCAGUGAGCCAUGACUGUCAGCUUGCACUUUUGAACAGCUAUUUUCUUGUGUCUGUUCAAAAUCAUUAUACAUUGUUCAUUGAGUGGAAUUCUUCAGAAUGUUGUAACGGUUUGUCCUGUUCAGGUUUUAUACAAAGCUCCAGGUCAUCGUUUCUGGUGUGUAAAUUAAGUUUUUUUAUGUUUUAUACACACUAAAUUGCCCCACUGUGAAGCUCCAGCUGGUCAGAAGGAGGGAUCUGUGAGUUGUUUAAGUUAAAAUGUUUCAAAAUAUACACACUGAAAGACACUACAGUGAAGGUGUUCUGCUUGUAAAUUGUUACAGAAGUACAGAUAAUCUUAAUGUUAAAUUGUUUUAGCAAGAAACUGUACUGUGAAUGUUCUAAGUAAAACUUGAGAUGCUGAGGUCAUGCAUUCUUUUAUGCACUAAAUACUGAUGUUCUUGACUGUUAAUACUGUCCAGCUUAUUGACAGGUUUGGAUAUGGCUUGUGAAAAUGUUUUAAUAUGUAUACGGUUAAAAAAAGAAGAAAACUACUGUGAAGGUGUUCUAUACAGCACUUUAAAAAGUUGAGGUCAUGCAUUCUUGUAUAAUAUGGAUGUUGACUGUUCAUACUGCCCAGCUCAUUGCCACUGUUUUUAUAUGGUAAUGAUUUAAUAAAGGUUGGA